rnacentral:rRNA from 1 species
AUGAUGUCCAUGCAUACCUCCACACCUCUCCUCUCCUCUAGCCUCGAGAUGCCGAGCCCGAGCCACACCUGCUUUCGGCACGCCGUCGCCAACCGGGGCUUCUCGGCUGGCCGUCUGCCGAGGCUUUCCUCCACGGCCAGGCGUCGUCGUCCACUCCGUUGGCUCAAGGGCGGACCCUCCCAGGGCGGUGCGUCCCCCUGA